UACGUAGGGGGCAAGCGUUGUCCGGAUUCAUUGGGCGUAAGGAGCGUGUAGGCGGCCAGGUAGGUCGGUUGUGAAAACUGGAGGCUCAACCUUCAGAGGUCGACCGAAACCAUCUGGCUAGAGUCCGGGGGAGGAGAGUGGAAUUCCUGGUGUAGCGGUGAAAUGCGCAGAUAUCAGGAAGAACACCCGUGGCGAAAGCGGCUCUCUGGAACGGUACUGACGCUGAGACGCGAAAGCGUGGGGAGCGAACAGG
rnacentral:rRNA from 1 species